rnacentral:rRNA from 1 species
AUUGAACGCUGGCGGCAUGCUUUACACAUGCAAGUCGAACGGUAACAGGCCGCAAGGUGCUGACGAGUGGCGAACGGGUGAGUAAUGCAUCGGAACGUGCCCAGUCGUGGGGGAUAACGCAGCGAAAGCUGCGCUAAUACCGCAUACGAUCUCUGGAUGCAAGGGGGGGACCGAAAGGCCUCGCGCGAUUGGAGCGGCCGAUGUCGGAUUAGGUAGUUGGUGGGGUAAAGGCUCACCAAGCCAACGAUCUGUAGCUGGUCUGAGAGGACGACCAGCCACACUGGGACUGAGACACGGCCCAGACUCCUACGGGAGGCAGCAGUGGGGAAUUUUGGACAAUGGGCGCAAGCCUGAUCCAGCAAUGCCGCGUGCAGGAAGAAGGCCUUCGGGUUGUAAACUGCUUUUGUACGGAACGAAACGGUCCUGGUUAAUACCUGGGGCUAAUGACGGUACCGUAAGAAUAAGCACCGGCUAACCACGUGCCAGCCGCCGCCGUAAAAC